rnacentral:rRNA from 1 species
AGAUUGAACGCUGGCGGAAUGCUUUACACAUGCAAGUCGAGCGGCAGCGCGGGGCAACCUGGCGGCGAGCGGCGAACGGGUGAGUAACAUAUCGGAACGUAUUCUUAAGUGGGGGACAACCUAGCGAAAGUUAGGCUAAUACCGCAUACGCAGGGAACUGGAAAGUGGGGGAUCGCAAGACCUCACGCUUUUGGAGCGGCCGAUAUCAGAUUAGCUUGUUGGUGAGGUAAAGGCUCACCAAGGCGACGAUCUGUAGCUGGUCUGAGAGGAUGAUCAGCCACACUGGGACUGAGACACGGCCCAGACUCCUACGGGAGGCAGCAGUGGGGAAUUUUGGACAAUGGGGGCAACCCUGAUCCAGCCAUUCCGCGUGAGUGAAGAAGGCCUCGGUUGUAAAGACUCUUUUGUUUCGGACGUAAACGGUAGGUUAAGUAACCCUAGACUACUGACGGUACCGGAAGAAGUAAAGACGAACGCUAACUAACGUCGCCAGCAGCCGCGGUAAC